GAUGAACGCUGGCGGCGUGCUUAACACAUGCAAGUCGAGCGGUAAGGCCCUUUCGGGGGUACACGAGCGGCGAACGGGUGAGUAACACGUGGGUGACCUGCCCUCAGCUCUGGGAUAAGCCUGGGAAACCGGGUCUAAUACCGGAUAUGACUCCAUGACGCAUGUUGUGGGGUGGAAAGCCUUGUGCGGCUGAGGAUGGGCCCGCGGCCUAUCAGCUUGUUGGUGGGGGUGAGGCCUACCAAGGCGACGACGGGUAGCCGGCCUGAGAGGGCGACCGGCCACACUGGGACUGAGACACGGCCCAGACUCCUACGGGAGGCAGCAGUGGGGAAUCUUGCGCAAUGGGGGCGAACCCCUGAUCCAGCGACGCCGCGUGUGUGAAGAAGGCCUGCGGGGUUGUAAAGCAC
rnacentral:rRNA from 1 species